rnacentral:rRNA from 1 species
GUAACAUAACAUGAUUAUAAUUGAAGAGUUUGAUCAUGGCUCAGAUUGAACGCUGGCGGUAGGCUUAACACAUGCAAGUCGUGCGAGAAAGUAUCUUCGGAUAUGAUUAGAGCGGCGGACGGGUGAGUAACGCGUAGGAAUCUACCUAGUAGAAGGGGAUAGCCCGAGGAAACUCGGAUUAAUACCGUAUACCUCCUUCGGGAGAAAGAAGGCCUCUCUUUGAAGCUUUCGCUACUAGAUGAGCCUGCGUAAGAUUAGCUUGUUGGUGAGGUAAAGGCUCACCAAGGCGACGAUCUUUAGCGGGUCUGAGAGGACGAUCCGCCACAUUGGGACUGAGACACGGCCCAGACUCCUACGGGAGGCAGCAGUGGGGAAUAUUGGACAAUGGGCGCAAGCCUGAUCCAGCCAUACCGCGUGUGUGAAGAAGGCCUUAGGGUUGUAAAGCACUUUAAGUUGGGAAGAAAGGUUAUUGGCUAAUACCCAAUAACUGUGACAUUACCAUCAGAAUAAGGACCGGCUAAUUCCGUGCCAGCAGCCGCGGUAAUACGGAAGGUCCAAGCGUUAAUCGGAAUUACUGGGCGUAAAGCGCGCGUAGGUGGUUUAUUAAGUUGGAUGUGAAAUCCCCGGGCUCAACCUGGGAACUGCAUUCAAAACUGGUUCA